rnacentral:rRNA from 1 species
CACGCUGUAAACGAUGUCAACUAGCUGUUGGUCAUAUGAAUGUGAUUAGUGGCGAAGCUAACGCGAUAAGUUGACCGCCUGGGGANCAACGCGAAGAACCUUACCUACCCUUGACAUACAGCGAAUUCGGGAGAGAUCUUGAAGUGCCUUCGGGAACGCUGAUACAGGUGC